UACAGAGGAUGCAAGCGUUAUCCGGAAUGAUUGGGCGUAAAGCGUCUGUAGGUGGCUUUUUAAGUCCGCCGUCAAAUCCCAGGGCUCAACUCUGGACAGGCGGUGGAAACUACCAAGCUUGAGUACGGUAGGGGCAGAGGGAAUUUCCGGUGUAGCGGUGAAAUGCGUAGAUAUCGUGAGGAAGACCAGUGGCGAAGGCGGAUCUCUGGACAGUUCCUGACGCUGAGGCGCGAAGGCCAGGGGAGCAAACGGG
rnacentral:rRNA from 1 species